rnacentral:rRNA from 1 species
UGGGGAAUUUUGGACAAUGGGGGCAACCCUGAUCCAGCCAUUCCGCGUGAGUGAAGAAGGCCUUCGGGUUGUAAAGCUCUUUCAGCUGGAACGAAACGGUGCGCUCUAACAUAGCGUGCUAAUGACGGUACCAGCAGAAGAAGCACCGGCUAACUACGUGCCAGCAGCCGCGGUAAUACGUAGGGUGCGAGCGUUAAUCGGAAUUACUGGGCGUAAAGCGUGCGCAGGCGUAUUGUUAAGCAAGACGUGAAAUCCCCGGGCUUAACCUGGGAAUGGCGUUUUGAACUGGCAGUCUAGAGUGCGUCAGAGGGGGGUGGAAUUCCACGUGUAGCAGUGAAAUGCGUAGAGAUGUGGAGGAACACCGAUGGCGAAGGCAGCCCCCUGGGAUGACACUGACGCUCAUGUACGAAAGCGUGGGUAGCAAACAGG